UACAGAGACUGCAAGCGUUAUUCGGAUUCACUGGGCGUAAAGGGUGCGCAGGCGGCCUAGUGUGUGAGGCGUGAAAGCCCGGGGCUUAACCCCGGAAUUGCACCUCAAACUACACGGCUAGAGCAUUGGAGAGGGUAGCAGAAUUCAUGGUGUAGCAGUGAAAUGCGUAGAUAUCAUGAGGAAUACCAGAGGCGAAGGCGGCUAACUGGACAAUUGCUGACGCUCAGGCACGAAAGCGUGGGGAGCAAAAGGG
rnacentral:rRNA from 1 species